GAGAGAGCUGUCAGGUGUACGAUCUGUGCACAUGCGCGCCUCAGCCAACUUUACUGAGUUUUGAAAAAAGAAAAGUGAAAGACAGGACGUGUUGAGCGCCAGUGACGAUGAGGAGUUUUCAGAGAAGACCUUCUGAUGAAGAGGAGGAUGAGGACUGACCCACAGACAGGUGUGACGUGCAGGUUUCCACCACGUCGAGGCUGGGGGGAAACCACCGAGAACAUCUGAUGACGUGCUGCUGAGGCAGUUUGGGUUAAUGACAUCAUGAGAUGAGUUGGCUGCUGGACGGAGACCGCAGCCAGCGGCAGAGGAGCUGCUGGGGUUGUGAGGCAAGGUUUGCAGCUGCUGGUUAAAAAAAACACACAAAUGUGCUGUGGAUUUUAUAAAGAAUUUGUUGAAAUGUUGAAGGGAAGAACACAUUCAGGAGGUCUGAAGGAGGAAUUCUGUUGUUGCCUUGAACCAGACGACCAUUAAACAACUGCAGGAUUUUCCGAGUGCUCCACGCCCAGUGAAGUACAUCCUGAAUGCUGGUGACCACAGGAAGUAACACACAAGUAAAAGAUAACGUAGACUCUGAAGCCGAGUACAUUAUUUAUUUAUCAUGAAACCAGUUGCUGUGAGGCUUUAUCUUCAAAUGUUGAAUCAUUAAGAGACUUAGAGUGAACGAGGAACUAAGGUUAAGGAUGUAAAUUAAGUGUAAUGUGUACAUUUUUGUAUGUAUACAUAGUGAAAUAAAUAUUUUUUUAUUGUCAUGUAACUUGUGUUCCUGGUAAACACUUUAUAAAUCAA